rnacentral:lncRNA from 1 species
CCAUUUGAACAAUUAAGGAAGUUAGGAUCGGCUAAAGGCUCAAAUAAUACCGGUGAGUGGACUUGCAUUUCAAAAUUUGUUUUGGGAAUGUGAAUGUAAUUGUACAAACAUUUGAAAGAUUUUAUCUAGCUUUUCUUUAAAAAUGUACCUUGGGAACAAGCCUUUGGUGAAGUGUUUUUAUCUUGUGAAAAUGUGCUAUAUAAAUGGUUUAUGUGUUAUCACAAUAUGAUUGUCAAACCUGUUCUAUAAAAUAAUUACGACGUCAUUUACAUGCUAAAUAGAAUGUUUGCAUAUUUAGGAAGUUCAAGAAAUCGUUAAAAGAAGAUAUUGCCCCUAAUGGUACCAUUAAGUCGAUUAAGCCUUGAACUAGUUCAAAUAGGAAUUUUAAGGUGAAAUUAAGAGUUUCACAAUUCAUGAAUGAUUUAAAAUGGUGAUUUGGAGUUCGAUGAUCAAUUUGGAGUCAAACCGAAAUUUUCACUAUCUAGGGGCAAAAUGGUCAUUUGCCACCUGGGGACAAAAUGAGAAUUUUAGAAAAGAUUUUUUUUGCCGCAUUUGACUUAUUAGAGUAUGAUUUGAGUAUUGGAGUAUGUUUUGAGGUUUAGAAGUGAAAAAAUUUUAAUUUCGGUAUAAUUUAGAGCAUAGGAGUGAAAUGGUAAUUUUGCCACCCAAGGGCAAAUCGGUAAAUUUUCACCCCCGACACUUGUCAAGACCAAGGGAUUUUAUUCAUCAUGGAAAUGGAUAAACAUGAGAAAUGUGUGGUGGAGUAUUAAAGAAUUAAAAGUCAAAUAUUUAAAAUUUGAACCAAUAAGGAAAUGCCAUGUGUCAUGCUUUUAUUAUUUUAUUAUUUCUUUAUAAAAAGGCAAAAAAUCAGCCCAUUUCUCCCAUAAUGAUCAGCCAAAUCUGAAGAGAAGAGAAACCAAGGAAGAACAAACCCUAGGUGGGAAAAAUCAAAGAGAAAAUGUUGGAAUACAAGGAUUUGAUCAAGCAAAGGUAAAAUUUCUUUGAUUUUGCUAGUGAUUUACCUUACCCAUGCAUUUUCCCUUAAUUUUCAUGGUUAAAUUACAUGUUUUCAUGAUGAAUUCAUGGCUGGUCAAAAUGGGUAAGGAGAGAGAAAGAUGUUGGAUUGAAUUGAUUUUAAGAUAUGUUAGUGUUUUUAGUUAGUUUAACAUAUUUAAAAGCAAAACAACAAGAAAAGAAUCCAUUUUUCCCACGAAUCUUCUUUGGCCAAAUCAUCCUUGAUGUGUGUGGGUGAUGGAUUAUUAUUAUUUCAAGAGAAAUGGCUUAGAAAAUGAUGAAUAAUGGUGAGAAAAUUAAGUUGGAAAAAUCACGGCGUUAGUGCACCGUAAUGGCCGAAUUUUUCCAUGAAGAAAUGGGAAGGUUUUGAUGCUGAAAUUGGUGUUAUUUGAAUAAUUUUUGGUGAAUUGAGGUAUUAGAAAUGAAAUGGAGCAAUUUGAAGCCAAAUUGGACACAAUUGUCAUUUAAUCCGGUAAUAGGCUGAAUUAGGUCAGCACUGCAUUUAAGCGGUAGUCGGAUAAGUUGCAUAUCAUAUGCAUAUACACCGAGCUUGAAUUGAUUUUAUAAUGGUCAAGCAUUAAUGUGGUGAAUUAUGUAUUGUACAUUGUGGAUAGGUGGUGAGUAAAUUACACUAGUAAAAGUACAGAGAUUGUGCUUGAAGACUGGGAUUAGGAGUACAUCGACUCUUAGAACUGUGAGUAAACUUAUUAUCGUCUUAAUUAUCAAGAGUAGUUUUAUACAAUUGUGUGAUUUUAUAGAAAAUGGGUUUAAAUGGUAAAUUGCUAUGUUUUAGGAGAAAUUGUGAUUUUAUAAAAUAAUUUUAUAAAUUUUUUGGAAAAUUGAAUACUGGUUUUGAAAUUAGAGUAAUUGGAGACUGUCUGCUUGUGUUAUAAAUUGUGUUUUAAAUUAUAUAGCUUAUAGCAAUAUGUGAGCAUGAAUGGCAAAGUUGGUAUCUGUAUCAAAAAUUAUAUAUACUAUGUAUUCAGCCUUGAGAGGCUAGAUUACGAUAAAUUGCCAUGUCAUGCGAAUAAAUAUUUUAUAAAUCAAGUGAUAGAUAAAAUAAUCCAUAGUCACUGCAGUGGUGGGGGUUCCCGUGGACUGCCUAUGAGAGGGGCACGGUAACUCAGUUAUAUAUUUACCUCGGGGGGGAGAUGUUGGACAAAGUAUCUCUUGAGGUAAAGGUUUGAGUGCACUUCACGUGGACCACCGCGUGAGAGUGAGACUCAGCCAACGCCAAGGAACGGCUAUGUCUCAAAUGUGAAAACAUGUUUAUGGGUAUGGGACAUUUAACAGCCUUGGCAGUCUUAGUGGGAUACCUUGACGAAGGUACCCGCGAGAAUGAUUUUGGUAGGAGCCAAGUUUUGUGAGAUAUAUAAGCUAUGUCGAUUAAUUGAGUAAACUGAAUAUUCAUGUUAUGAAACAUAUAUUGUAAAAGAAUAUUUUAAUUCGUCUCUAUUUACUCGCCUUUAGAUGGUUUAGAUGGUGUCUGUUUACUCACUAGGAUUUUAUAACCUCACCACCCUCAUUUCCUCACAUUUCAGGCUUAGGGAAUUUCAUAGUUAGCUGACUUUGACAAGGACCUUCAUUUGGACUUGAAUCGGCAAAAGUUGUAGGUUUUCAGCUUCCGAUGCAUUUUGGUCAGUUAGGGGCCCAUGUGUCAUUGUAAAA